AAAGGAGCAGACAUUAGGCACAACUCAAUGUUAGCCCACAACGUCUUGCUUAGCCACACCCCCAAGGGAACUCAGCAGUAAUAAACAUUAAGCAAUAAGUGAAAGCUUGACUUAGUUAAAACCAAGAGGGCCGGUAAAACUCGUGCCAGCCACCGCGGUUAUACGAGGGGCCCAAGUUGAUAAACGCCGGCGUAAAAUGUGGUUAACAUACUAUUGCACUAAAGCCAAACAUCUUCAAAGAUGUUAUACCCAUAUGAAGACAGGAAGCACUUCCACGAAAGUGGCUUUAAAUAAUGUUAUCCACGAAAGCUAGGAGACAAACUGGGAUUAGAUACCCCACUAUGCCUAGCCUUAAACACAAGUGAACACUUACACCUUUCGCUUGCCAGGGAACUACGAGCCCCAGCUUAAAACCCAAAGGACUUGGCGGUGCUUUAGACCCCCCUAGAGGAGCC
rnacentral:rRNA from 1 species